GACGUAGGGGACGAGCGUUGUCCGGAUUCAUUGGGCGUAAAGCGCGCGUAGGCGGUUUGGUAAGUCGGAUGUGAAAUCCCCCAGGCUCAACUUGGGAACUGCAUCCGAUACUGGAUGGCUUGAAUUCGGGAGAGGGAUGCAGAAUUCCAGGUGUAGCGGUGAAAUGCGUAGAUAUCUGGGAGGAAUACCGGUGGCGAAGGCGGCAUCCUGGACCGACAUUGACGCUGAACGGCGAAAGCUAGGGGAGCAAACGGG
rnacentral:rRNA from 1 species